rnacentral:tRNA from 1 species
GCGUAGAUGACUGAGUGGCUUAGGUCGCGGAUUGCAAAUCCGUUGCACGGGGGUUCGAAUCCCUCUCUACGCUCCA